rnacentral:rRNA from 1 species
CCCUUAGAUGUUCUGGGCCGCACGCGCGCUACACUGAUGCAUUCAACGAGUUUCUUCCUGGUCCGAGAGGAAUGGGUAACCUUUUGAAAGUGCAUCGUGAUAGGGAUAGACUAUUGCAAUUAUUGGUCUUCAACGAGGAAUUCCUAGUAGACGUAGUUCAUCAGACUACAUCGAUUACGUCCCUGCCCUUUGUUCACACCGCCCGUCGCUCCUACCGAUUGAAUGCUCAGGUGAGCCAUUCGGACUUUCAUCAUGCUGGUUUCCAGUUUUGAUGAAGGAAAGUCUUGCGAACCUUAUCAUUUAGAGGAAGGAGAAGUCGUAACA